GUGCUCACUUUGAUAACACAUAUACUAAAAGUGGAAUGAUACAGAGAAGAUUAGCAUGAAUUAUCUCUUUGCAGGAAUGACACCCAAAUUUGUGAAGCAUUCCAUAAAAAA